CAUGUGAAUCAGCCGGAUCUGUUUAUUCAGCUUGGGUUGAUUUUUCGGAAGCACUGUAUUUAAGAGACACUAGUUGAAGAAACGCGAAAAUAAUUUUGCAGUCAGUUUAUAAUUACGUUUCAGAUCUGCUAGAGACUCUCUCGGAAAUGUCAUCCAUAACUCAAACUCUCUCACGGUUGACAUCCCAACCAGCAUCGAAUAUAGUGCCAAAACUGGUUCCCAAUCCGGAGUCACCAAAACUGGUCAAUUGCACGAUUGGACUACCGUUGGAAAUUCGAGAAAAAAUGAUGGCAGCUUCGGCGAAAAACGUCGACGACAGUGACGAAUUGCGUUUUGCCAAACAAAAGCCCCAAUCUUAAUCGUGAAGUUUUUCUAUUCAUUUAAAAAAUCAGUUAUACAACUUAUUUAAAUAUAAUUUGAAACGUCUUUAUUAAAA